rnacentral:rRNA from 1 species
AUGCAUUGGUACUCUUGGUGGAAAUUAUGCUACCCCAAGAAUGAAGGUGGAAUGGGUUUCAGGGACCUAUAUUCUUUCAAUUUGGCAAUGCUCUCAAAGCAAUGUUGGCACCUUAUUACUGACUCGGAUUAUUUAUGUGCUCGGGUGCCGAAGGCGAAAUAUUUCCCUAAUGGAAGUUUACUCCAAGCCACUUUGAAAAAUGGUGCCUCAUUCACGUGGCAAAGUAUCAUGAAGGGACUAGAAACAUUCAGAUUGGGGUAUAUUUGGCGGAUUGGAAUAGGGGAAAACGUUAAUAUAUGGACAGACCCUUGGGUUCCAGCGAAUCCAGAUAGGAAAAUUAUAUCUACACGUGGACACACAGUCGUGACACAAGUGUCUGAUUUGAUAGAUCCUAUCACAUGUACAUGGGAUGAGGAGUUGAUAAGAUCUAUCUUUAAUCCAACUGAUGUCAGAAGAAUCCUUCAGAUUCCAGUUAGUCAUCAGGCGUUCGAAGAUUUCAUUGCAUGGCACCCUGACAGAAGGGGCAUUUUUUCAGUCCGAACUGUGUACAAAUUGCAAUGGACACAAAGUUUUCAUGUACACGCAAACCUGCAUGGACGUCCAGGUGGUUCAAACUUCCCAGAGAUAUGGUCUAAGCUCAGGAAACUAGUGAUCCCACGUAAAGUCUCUAUCUUUUGCUGGUGUCCUUCAUGGAGUACUCCCACUAAAGUCGACACUCACUAA